UAAUAAUUUAACCACAUUUUAUUACAUUAUAAACAAGCCAGUAUUAAAAAUUUCAAACUAAAACAACAGAUAAUUAGAAAAUGAUCUUAGUUCAUAAAUACAUCGCUGAAUCAACUUAUCAAUGAUCACCGUAAUAUCAAUAUAAUCUUCAGUAUCAAACAGUGUUUAUUAAACAGGGUGCGAUAAUUCGCGUACUUACGUUACCACGUGACCUUUCCUAGCCUAAGGUAUUCAAUACCGUAAUUUAGUUAGUAUAUCAUGUGUCUGAGAUGUCUUGGCAUGAAACAUUAUUGGACUGAUGGCACUAAGAAACGUUGAAGUCGAUUGUUUGUUUACAGCUAUUUCAAUUAAGGUUGUCCCCGAGCAAAGCGGAAAAGUCGAAUACGAGCGCGAAAGGCUGCUGUGAAUCGCUAACGAAGACUGAUGAAUUUAUUAGCGAUUCAGCCUUUCGCGCUCGUAUUCGACUUUUCCGCUUUGGUCGGGGACAAAUUUAAUUGAAAUAGCUGUAUGCAAUUGUGCUUCUUUUUCUACCUCGUAGUCUGUACAUACUUUUCAUAAACCUGUACUUUAUGAACCUUAUUUUAAUGACUAAGCACACAUUGAGUACUGAGUUUGCACUAGACUAGCGCAAGUACGCGCCAACAACCAUUGGCGUACCAGUCAAUACCAGUCAGGCACGACUAAAAAUCCUGAAUUAUCGCACCCUGCAGUUUAUACUGCACUUAGCAAGUUUAAAAACAAUCCCAAAACAAGAUGAUCAAUUUCAAAGAAUCGCUAGUCAAUUUCAAGAUAAAUUUCAACAUAACAGAUUGCCCAAAAUAUUUUCAAAUUAUCUUCCUAGCUAGUGAGGCAGCACAUUAUCAUGCAUACUCAUAUGAUCUUCAAGUUCGGUGGCAAUUUCAUACUCAGCAUCGCAGACACAACAGAUAUAACCAAUACCAGUUGCUUGCCUUGCUUCUAAUUCCUUUCAGACAUCACAUUGGUAGGACGUACCAUGCUCUUUGGCGUUGUGCUCAAUUAAACUUUGAAUUUCAGCGAACUGUUUGUUGCAUUUGUCACAGUCAAAAUGAUCAUCACUCAGUAUCUCAUCAGAAUGUCCUUGUCCUUGCGAUUGAAUAACUUCUCUGCCACAAGUGUCGCACACUAAUAAGCCGUCUCUUCAAUGUGUUCUCCAUUGGCGUUUGAGACUUUGUUGUUGUUGUCUGAAUGUUUUCUUGCAGAUAUUACGAAAGUCACCGAACUGUGGAAUCGCAUCGAAAAUUCGUAUAUCGGCCACUCCCAGAAACAUCUAUGACCGCACCUACA